GACGAACGCUGGCGGCGUGCCUAAUACAUGCAAGUAGAACGCUGAAGGAGGAGCUUGCUUCUCUGGAUGAGUUGCGAACGGGUGAGUAACGCGUAGGUAACCUGCCUGGUAGCGGGGGAUAACUAUUGGAAACGAUAGCUAAUACCGCAUAAGAGUAGAUGUUGCAUGACAUUUGCUUAAAAGGUGCAAUUGCAUCACUACCAGAUGGACCUGCGUUGUAUUAGCUAGUUGGUGAGGUAACGGCUCACCAAGGCAACGAUACAUAGCCGACCUGAGAGGGUGAUCGGCCACACUGGGACUGAGACACGGCCCAGACUCCUACGGGAGGCAGCAGUAGGGAAUCUUCGGCAAUGGACGGAAGUCUGACCGAGCAACGCCGCGUGAGUGAAGAAGGUUUUCGGAUCGUAAAGCUCUGUUGUAAGAGAAGAACGAGUGUGAGAGUGGAAAGUUCACACUGUGACGGUAUCUUACCAGAAAGGGACGGCGAACUACGU
rnacentral:rRNA from 1 species